rnacentral:rRNA from 1 species
GACGAACGCUGGCGGCGUGCCUAAUACAUGCAAGUAGAACGCUGAAGCGAGGAGCUUCCUCUUCUUGGAUGAGUUGCGAACGGGUGAGUAACGCGUAGGUAACCUGCCUUGUAGCGGGGGAUAACUAUUGGAAACGAUAGCUAAUACCGCAUAACAAUGGAUGACACAUGUCAUUUAUUUGAAAGGGGCAAUUGCUCCACUACAAGAUGGACCUGCGUUGUAUUAGCUAGUAGGUGAGGUAAUGGCUCACCUAGGCGACGAUACAUAGCCGACCUGAGAGGGUGAUCGGCCAAACUGGGACUGAGACACGGCCCAGACUACUACGGGAGGCAGCAGUAGGGAAUCUUCGGCAAUGGGGGAAACACUGACCGAGCAACGCCGCGUGAGUGAAGAAGGUUUUCGGAUCGUAAAGCUCUGUUGUAAGUCAAGAACGGGUGUGAGAGUGGAAAGUUCACACUGUGACGGUAGCUGAACAGAAAGGGACGGCUAACUACGUG